rnacentral:rRNA from 1 species
GAUGAACGCUGGCGGCGUGCCUAAUACAUGCAAGUCGAGCGAACAGAUGAGGAGCUUGCUCCUCUGACGUUAGCGGCGGACGGGUGAGUAACACGUGGAUAACCUACCUAUAAGACUGGGAUAACUUCGGGAAACCGGAGCUAAUACCGGAUAAUAUAUUGAACCGCAUGGUUCAAUAGUGAAAGACGGUUUUGCUGUCACUUAUAGAUGGAUCCGCGCCGCAUUAGCUAGUUGGUAAGGUAACGGCUUACCAAGGCAACGAUGCGUAGCCGACCUGAGAGGGUGAUCGGCCACACUGGAACUGAGACACGGUCCAGACUCCUACGGGAGGCAGCAGUAGGGAAUCUUCCGCAAUGGGCGAAAGCCUGACGGAGCAACGCCGCGUGAGUGAUGAAGGUCUUCGGAUCGUAAAACUCUGUUAUUAGGGAAGGACAAAUGUGUAAGUAACUAUGCACGUCUUGACGGUACCUAACCAGAAAGCCACGGCUAACUACGUG